rnacentral:rRNA from 1 species
GACGAACGCUGGCGGCGUGCCUAAUACAUGCAAGUAGAACGCACAGUUUAUACCGUAGCUUGCUACACCAUAAACUGUGAGUUGCGAACGGGUGAGUAACGCGUAGGUAACCUGCCUGGUAGCGGGGGAUAACUAUUGGAAACGAUAGCUAAUACCGCAUAAUAUUAAUUAUUGCAUGAUAAUUGAUUGAAAGAUGCAAUUGCAUCACUACCAGAUGGACCUGCGUUGUAUUAGCUAGUAGGUGAGGUAACGGCUCACCUAGGCGACGAUACAUAGCCGACCUGAGAGGGUGAUCGGCCACACUGGGACUGAGACACGGCCCAGACUCCUACGGGAGGCAGCAGUAGGGAAUCUUCGGCAAUGGACGAAAGUCUGACUGAGCAACGCCGCGUGAGUGAAGAAGGUUUUCGGAUCGUAAAGCUCUGUUGUAAGAGAAGAACGGGUGUGAGAGUGGAAAGUUCACACUGUGACGGUAUCUUACCAGAAAGGGACGGCUAACUACGUG